rnacentral:rRNA from 1 species
AUUGAACGCUGGCGGCAUGCCUUACACAUGCAAGUCGAACGGUAACAGGUCUUCGGAUGCUGACGAGUGGCGAACGGGUGAGUAAUACAUCGGAACGUGCCCAGUCGUGGGGGAUAACGAAGCGAAAGCUUUGCUAAUACCGCAUACGAUCUACGGAUGAAAGCGGGGGAUCGCAAGAACUCGCGCGAUUGGAGCGGCCGAUGGCAGAUGAGGUAGUUGGUGGGGUAAAGGCUUACCAAGCCUACGAUCUGUAGCUGGUCUGAGAGGACGACCAGCCACACUGGGACUGAGACACGGCCCAGACUCCUACGGGAGGCAGCAGUGGGGAAUUUUGGACAAUGGGCGCAAGCCUGAUCCAGCAAUGCCGCGUGCAGGAUGAAGGCCUUCGGGUUGUAAACUGCUUUUGUACGGAACGAAAAGCUCUGGGUUAAUACCCUGGGGUCAUGACGGUACCGUAAGAAUAAGCACCGGCUAACUACGUGCCAGCCGCCGCGGUAA